rnacentral:misc_RNA from 1 species
GAGAAGAACGUAGUGAAAUGCGAUAAGUAAUGUGAAUUGCAGAAUUCAGUGAAUCAUCGAAUCUUUGAACGCACAUUGCGCCCGUCAGUAUUCUGGCGGGCAUGCCUGUUCGAGCGUCAUUACGCCCCUCAAGUCCCCUGUGGACUUGGUGUUGGGGAUCGGCGAGGCUGGUUUUCCAGCACAGCCGUCCCUUAAAUUAAUUGGCGGUCUCGCCGUGGCCCUCCUCUGCGCAGUAGUAAAACACUCGCAACAGGAGCCCGGCGCGGUCCACUGCCGUAAAACCCCCCAACUUUUUAUAGUUGACCUCGAAUCAGGUAGGACUACCCGCUGAACUUAAGCAUAUCAAUAAGCGGAGGA